rnacentral:rRNA from 1 species
AUUGAACGUUGGCGGCAGGCCUAACACAUGCAAGUCGAGCGGGGUUUUCGGACCUAGCGGCGGACGGGCGAGUAAUGCGUAGGAAGCUGCCCGAUAGAAGGGGAUACCAGUUGGAAACGACUGUUAAUACCGCAUAAUGUCUACGGACCAAAGUGUGGGACCUUCGGGCCACAUGCUAUCGGAUGCGCCUACGUGGGAUUAGCUAGUUGGUGAGGUAAUGGCUCACCAAGGCGACGAUCUCUAGCUGGUUUGAGAGGAUGAUCAGCCACACUGGAACUGAGACACGGUCCAGACUCCUACGGGAGGCAGCAGUGGGGAAUAUUGGACAAUGGGCGCAAGCCUGAUCCAGCCAUGCCGCGUGUGUGAAGAAGGCCUUCGGGUUGUAAAGCACUUUCAGCGAGGAGGAAGGGUGGUGUGUUAAUAGCACAUCAUUUUGACGUUACUCGCAGAAGAAGCACCGGCUAACUCUGUGCCAGCCGCCGCAGUAAGAC